CAAACCUAUAGACGUGCAUGAGAAACAUAAUUGUUUAUUACAAAAGUCUUUAUGUUCUAGUGUUUACAAGAACUCCUCGAGAACUAAUACAAGAAUUUUACAAAAAAAAACAACAAGAAUUUGAAACUCGAGUGAUAUUUAACGAUAGCAGCAAGCUCUUCAUAUCAUCAUAUCAGAUACUUUCAAACGGCUGAAUGGUAGUCUUAGCUUUUCGUGUUCCUCCCCAUCAACCAUUUGUGUUUUUCUACCUUGUAUGAAUUAGAAACAAAGUUGAUUCGCUUUUUUAAGGUGACAAUUUGAAGCCCGGCAAUUUCUGUUUUGUUGUUCGCGAAGCCGCCGCGUGAAAUGAAUGUUAUUUCCUGUAUUUUGUGUGUUCAAAAUAUGACUGCCUAUCGAUAGAUAUUUUCUGGACCGUGAUUCGUAAAAGAUCUUUCAUUUGGUACUCGUGUGUGGCAAAAUGUAAAAUCCAUAGACCAUAAGAUAGAACUGAAGUGAGAACAGGCUAAUUGAUAAUAGGAAAUUAUUUAGCUAUUUAUGUAUUGGUACUAGUUGAAGAAUAUAGCGUUGUUUGUCCUGCUGAAAUAGCUAGAUUUCCUCUGUUUGUUUGCUGAAACUACGCUGAGAUCAAGAACGCUAGCUUUGUUUAUUUGUUUCUUUCGUUGAUGUAUUCAGAUAAAUACGAUAACGACGAUGUCCUAUGGAGAAUGAUAAACACUGCAUCAUUUUUUUCUCGUUAUAAAUAGAACUUGUUAAAAGCGCAACAAAAUUGCUAGCAUAAGGCAUUCCCAGUAAUGGCUACGCUUUUUAUGAUGAUAAUUAUGUUCUUGUAAAGUUAACUUUGGCUCGUGUUAUGAAUGACUGGCAGAUGGUGACUGUUACAUGCUGAUAAAGAUUUACCAAUGAGAAACCUUAAAUAUGCCGCCCUUGAUUAUGGAAUUGAAAAGGUGUUUGUCUUUUUCCAGAACAUUUGACUACAAUCAAGUAAUUUCAUCUGGCUAACGUGUAUAUAUGUUGCCUUCCUUAAAGACGUCCAUAAAAUCCAGCGGCAAUGUCAAAACGUUCUGAAUAGUUUUGUGUAUAUUUUUGUGGCCAACGUUUGCAACCUGUUCACAGCUCAUUAGCAUAAUUUGCGCGGAAAUGUCGGAAUAUGGAACAAGCAUUCGGAAUUCGGUCGGCUUUCACCACCAAAUCAUUAGGUAAUUUCAAUUAUGAACAGGACAUCAAUAGCUAUGUGUAGGAUAGCUUAACCUCCGCUGUUAUUUAAUUGAUUUUUAAUUCAGCAAAAUGUUCACAGUAUUGCAAUUUAAACUUGCUAAUGAUAGGUAAUGAGAACAAAUACGUUAGAAUGUUCGGAAAUCAUCGUGCGGGCUUCGCUAUUUAGUUUGGGACAAGUAAUAUCUGUUGUAGGAAUAAGUUUAUCAGAGUGGUAUGCUUGUUUGAACAUUCGUAAUUUGAAGUUAGGUUUCAAACUGUUCUGUAUAAUAAUUUGUUAUAAACUUGUUCAACUUUCUAA